UCCUAGCCCCGAUAGUAGUGGAUAUCCUUUUGUGGCGGGGUUCGCCAUAAAAGAUUGGAACGGAUAGCGGGAUUAGCU
rnacentral:sRNA from 1 species